UGGCAGUUUCUCCCAUCAUACUUAAUCUUGGACCAAGAAUCACUAAAGCAAAGCUCCCAAAGCCGUGCUGGCAGGCCCUGUUUUGUAGUUUUACAAAUGCUUCUGAUUGUCACAAGUGUUGAAUUCAUAAAUUCUGCUGGAACAAUGUUAAGUCAGUGUGAUGGGGGAUAAAGUUGAAUUUGAAGUCUCAAUACAAAGGGAAUUGGGUGACUUGUUAGUAAAACGUAUUUAAAAAAGCUACUGAAAAAAGUCUUAUAGUGGGCAAAAUGUUGUAAACUGAUCGGGUAAGUUGUCCAUGCAGACUGCACAUUGUGCAUUAUGUGCAUACUAUCAGCUGUUUAUAUAUACUGUAAAUAUAUUUUAAAUAAGGUAUUUUUAACCUUCCCCUUUGGUUUUACUGACAGCUAUGUCUGAACCUCACAGUUACUUUCAGAAAUAUCAAACUUCACCACUAUCUUAGAGCACAGUUUGUUAGUUUACACAAAUAAAAAAGUAUAGAUGAGGGAGAAUCUGUAGCUAUGAUUUUUGAAAAGUUGGAAGUCAUUUUGCUUUAUUCCAGAGCAGUGCGAACUGCAGUAUGCUUGUCAGUUAAACCGGUUUGGGGUUGCUUACCCAUUCUGGGCACCUAGCCAGCCUAACUUACAAAACUGCAAUUAUCGUGAUUGUUAGGAAUAGUUCCACUUCUUCCCUUGGAUUUCUGCUGCUUUGCUUCUUUUCUUCUUAGAGGAAGUCUUAAAUUUUCCUGUCUGUUCUGAGGAGACCCUAUUUUCCCCUUAGGGGUUCCAACAGAGACACAGUGUCGCAGAAGCUCUCCCGCUGUCUGACAAAUGUAAUCUUUCCAGAGGCAGCAGCAGGCAGGAGUGUUGCUCCUCGGGAUCAAAUCCCUGCUGGCCCCAACCAACAAAGCAGCUCCUGCUGCUAGGAGAUCCACAGUGCUUGGGGUUUUUUAAUUUCAUGGUUUGACACAGAAUUUCUAAAUAUACAUCUAAUUUGAAGGCUGAGAGGCUUUGGUAUUUGUACCAUUCCUCGUUUAUGGCAGCACCAUUUCUGUGGCGGUUGCCAGCGGUUUGUCAAUGAACACUUCUGUGGUAUUUUGAAGCCCCUCCACAGAACACAAAUCAAAAAGAAAGAGCUGGCACCAGGUGCUGACCACCCAGCAGCUUUUGGACUGCAAGUACUUUGAGGUACCUAUGGUUUGAAGGCCUUUUGGUGAGGCAAUUUUUACUGCACUGUUGCCUCUGGCCUUGCAGUCUCCAAGAGGAACAAGCCACUGCUUCUGUCAGGCUCUUCUCCAACUCUUUCCAGUCUGCUGCGCUGGCUGGCUGUAGAUGUGGAUAGUUUGAGUUAUCAGGGAGAGCAUGCUGGAUGGUACAGUUUCAUGUUGCUGGUGUGAGCUGGGAUCACAGCUUGCUUCACGAGAAAGCCUGCGAGGUGGCGAUAGUAUGUUGAUCUAGAGAGGAAACCGGGCAAGUCUGUAAACUUAGUAAUGUACUCUGCUGUUUUAUCAUCAGUGAUUUGCCAGGUCAAGCAUGGCAGCUGUCCAAGCACAGUGCCUGCAUGCCUUUGCGCAGCUCUUCAAACAGGGUUCCUGUUGUGCAUGAGGAACUUCACAGGGACAUCCUCUGAUCUCUCUUUUACAGCAAGUGUUUUGAGGCUCAUAGGGGAACUUCUGUGCAAGCCCACAGGCACUAGCUUCUGAGGAGCAUCUUGACUCUCUUGCACUAUGAUCAGGAGGCUCUGAACCACCUGAGCCCCUGUCUGUGAUGUGGACUGCAGGCACUCUGGAAAUGCAUAUCCUGACUGACUGACAGAAGAGCAUGAGAAACACUGCCAAGUGAGCUGCAGACUGGCAGGGAAACCCAGCGUGGGAAGCUUGAGCACAUGGCUCCUGUGCUUUAGAUCCAGGACCAGAAAACCAGAGCAAGAACUCCACAGCAGUCGCACAAUAACAGAUCUCCCCAGACAGGCACCACCUUAAUCUCUGUGAUAGAUUAUUUUCAAAAGCUAAGUUUAAGAAUCCUUCUAAAAUCCUUGGUAUUCUCAGUACAGCAUCAGUUUUGAAUCCUAAGGUCUGGGCUUCAGUUAUCCUGUAAUAACAACCUCUGUUGAACAUGUUCUGUGGAAAAACCCCUCCACAACAGAGCUGCUCACCAGCCACAACUGACCCUGCAGAGAGCUGAGUAUAGUACAACAGUGGCCACUCACCCUGUCCCCUUCUGCACUAACUACGGAAUUGUUGCUACUGGAAGCUUUCAGUUUAAAUCUUUGUAUUUAAAAAUGAGAGCAUUCACAAACACACAUGAAAGCGUAUACUAGGGAAGAGCUUCUUGUGUUUCUUGUACAUCUUCUAAAGAAACAAAAAGCUACAACCACAAGUCUCUAAAGGACAGGGAUGGAUGGAAUGUAUGGAUGAAUGGAUGGAUGGCCAAAUAAAAAGGGAAAGGAACAAUCAGUUGUUUGAAACUUGCUAAGAUAUUAAAGCUACUCUUAUAACUGUUAAUCUAUUCCAGUUACCUUUUCUCUUCUAAUAACUAAAUCCAGACAUCAUACAGUGAGUUAGUCAUUAGAUCAAGCGCAUUAGAACUCGAUGCUUUUAACGUAUCAAAAUCUCCAUUUUAAAUCAGUAAAUACCUACAGAGAAAAAUUUGCUUUUAUAAUAGACAGUAAUUUCGGAAAACCAGGUGUAGCUACAAGCUCUUGUUUCAUACUGUUACUGUGCAAUUUCAAACUGGGAUGGGGCAUAGGUCAAAGUUUUCAAAGAACACGGCAUAAAAAAUAGUAAGUAACAUGAAAAGAAUGUAGGCAAGAGAUUUUUAAAUAGCUUUUUGUUAAUUUGAUUCUCACAUCCAAUUGGAAAGCAAGAAAAGGGAUAUUAAGAAGCAUGUGGCUUAUGUUUUCAGCAACAGUGCAAAACUUUUCCAUUUUUCAAUCCAGCAAUACUGGAAAUGGAGUCCAAAGACUAAAACAAAAUAAACCGUAAAUAACCCUCCGCAAAGGUGAUUUGGGCUGAGUAUUUCUUCCAUAAUGCACUAGUGUGAAACAUCAGCAGAGAUGCGCAAAGUGAGCAAGUUCAACACGACUUCUUGAGAACGAGUGCACAAAAGCAGAAUUACUUAUUUUGCAGAUCAGCAGGAGACUGCCGAGAGCUGGUGCCACAGCGCUCUGCUGUGUAAUGACACUGAGUGCAGAGCAGCCCAUUCUCUGCUACGCUUGGAUGCUGUGCUGAAUGCAAGAUAUUGGUGGCUGGUCCUUACAAGGCAACAGCAAGGAAGGUGUGUCCUGGCAUGCAGGAUAUAACCCUUCUGCCACUGCCAAAGGUGCCCAUGACAUAGGAUUAGGUCCCUGCUUUUGGUUCUGUGCAUGCAGGUGAAGACUAGGUUGCAACAGCAUGGAGCAGAGAAGCUGUAAGUACUGGAUUCUCAUGAAAGGUUUUCAUGAGAGAAAAAAACGGCAACUCAGCAAAGGUCAAAAAGUCUUGAAAUCACUCUGGAUAAGUCAUCACAACUGCAUUGCCCCUAUUCUGCAAGCUACUUACAGAAGCCAGGCCCAUUAUCCGAGGGAAUGUAAGGGAUGAACAUCCAUCCGGACCUUGUCCAAAAGUAGUGUAUGGUGUCUGAAACCAAGCCUUCUCGUUAGCCCAAACCACAUCACACAGAGGCAAUAUAGAUGCUCCAAGUCCAAUGGCUGGGCCAUUUACUGCUACAAUGAUAGGCUUCUUAAACUGAAUAAAAGUAUUCACAAAAUUCCUGAAGAGAAACAGAAACAUGUACUCACUAUGUAUUUAUAGAGAGUAAAAUAUAGCAGCCCUUGAAAACUUAGUAAGAAUUCAUGUCCACAGUAACAUUACUUUCAACACCAACCUGAUAACCUUCCAUGAUGAGGUGGUUAGCUUGGAUGAGGAGAGUGCAGUGGGUAUUGUCUACAUAGGUUUCAGAGCGAGGCAGUCAGCACUGUCUCCCACAAGACUCUCCCAGUCAAGCUGUUGAUGUAUGAGCUGGAUGAGCAGACAGCGUGGAGGACUAAAAAUGUCUGAAUGGCUGGCCCAGAGGGUGGUGAACAGCGACACCAAGACUAGUUGGAGGCCAGUAAUUAGUGUCGUAAUGGCUGGUUUUGCAUUUCGGUGAAACAGAACACUUCUACUAUAUUGCAUUCAUCACUACAGGUUAUCAUGCUCAACUCACCCUAGCGAGCUGAAGUAGGUGAAUGCUGAAAAACUGCUGGAACAAUCUUAUACAAUCCAUCACACAAACACUCCCAAUUCAGAGACUUGAGAUAAUUUUAAUCACAUUUGAAUAUUCCAGAGAUGACCAUCUUAGCAUAUAUAUGAAAAAUACCAUUCUUGUAUUUGAAGGGGGGGUUUAAAAGUUCCAUUUAUCCAUUUUCUUAACAACGAGUAAUAGGUGACAAAUCAGGAUUCUGGAUGGAACUGAAUUACAACUAGUGACAGAAGCUCAGUGUUAAAAGCCUCUGUCCUCUGGCUGCAUCUGAAGUCACUGCAUGAGCAACUUUUACUUGGAAUGACUGAAAUAUUUCAUCUGG